rnacentral:rRNA from 1 species
GACGAACUCUGGCGGCGUGCUUAACACAUGCAAGUCGAACGGUAAGGCUCCAGCUUGCUGGGGUACACGAGUGGCGAACGGGUGAGUAACACGUGGGUGACCUGCCCUGCACUUCGGGAUAAGCCUGGGAAACUGGGUCUAAUACCGGAUAGGACCGCACCGUGAGGGUGUGGUGGAAAGUUUUUUCGGUGUGGGAUGGGCCCGCGGCCUAUCAGCUUGUUGGUGGGGUAAUGGCCUACCAAGGCGGCGACGGGUAGCCGGCCUGAGAGGGUGGACGGCCACAUUGGGACUGAGACACGGCCCAGACUCCUACGGGAGGCAGCAGUGGGGAAUAUUGCACAAUGGGCGGAAGCCUGAUGCAGCGACGCCGCGUGGGGGAUGACGGCCUUCGGGUUGUAAACUCCUUUCACCAUCGACGAAGGGUUUCUGACGGUAGAUGGAGAAGAAGCACCGGCUAACUACGUGCCAGCAGCCGCGGUAAUACGUAGGGUGCGAGCGUUGUCCGGAAUUACUGGGCGUAAAGAGCUCGUAGGUGGUUUGUCGCGUCGUCUGUGAAAUUCCGGGGCUUAACUCCGGGCGUGCAGGCGAUACGGGCAUAACUUGAGUACUGUAGGGGAGACUGGAAUUCCUGGUGUAGCGGUGAAAUGCGCAGAUAUCAGGAGGAACACCGGUGGCGAAGGCGGGUCUCUGGGCAGUAACUGACGCUGAGGAGCGAAAGCAUGGGGAGCGAACAGGAUUAGAUACCCUGGUAGUCCAUGCCGUAAACGGUGGGCGCUAGGUGUGGGUUUCCUUCCACGGGAUCCGUGCCGUAGCUAACGCAUUAAGCGCCCCGCCUGGGGAGUACGGCCGCAAGGCUAAAACUCAAAGGAAUUGACGGGGGCCCGCACAAGCGGCGGAGCAUGUGGAUUAAUUCGAUGCAACGCGAAGAACCUUACCUGGGCUUGACAUAUACAGGAUCGCGCCAGAGAUGGUGUUUCCCUUGUGGCUUGUAUACAGGUGGUGCAUGGUUGUCGUCAGCUCGUGUCGUGAGAUGUUGGGUUAAGUCCCGCAACGAGCGCAACCCUUGUCUUAUGUUGCCAGCACGUUGUGGUGGGGACUCGUAAGAAACUGCCGGGGUUAACUCGGAGGAAGGUGGGGAUGACGUCAAAUCAUCAUGCCCCUUAUGUCCAGGGCUUCACACAUGCUACAAUGGUCGGUACAGUGGGUUGCCAGUCCGUGAGGGCGAGCUAAUCCCGCAAAGCCGGUCUCAGUUCGGAUCGGGGUCUGCAACUCGACCCCGUGAAGUCGGAGUCGCUAGUAGUCGCAGAUCAGCAACGCUGCGGUGAAUACGUUCCCGGGCCU